UGUCCUGCUGGAGAUCUACCUUGAGCACUACAUUCUGUGGACCAGACCUCCUUCCUCUUGUGUGAGCAAGGGCUGUAUCAUGCUCAAGAACCUGGGAGUUAGAUGAGCAGUGGCCAAGACCAUUCAACAACCCUAUGAGCUGUGCUGAGCCUGUCAUAUGCCGAACUGCCAUUGCAAGAGAGCACUGUUUUGGCAUGAGCCACCGUCCUUUGGUCGCCAAGAUGAUGUCCCUCAGGGUGACCGCUGCAUGAUAUAAAAGACGAGACCUAUCUGUCGUGAUGGUGGCAUUAUCAGGCUGUCUUUGAGUCAUCAGUGAUGUUUCUCCUUCACUGUCUUCAGAUGAGGAGGAAGAGGAGGAAG